AAGAUUUCAUGCUCAAUGGAGGAGAAAUAUUCAAAAUAUGGGCAUGAUUACUUUUUAGCAAAUAGGGAAGACAUUCCUUGGAGCUGUUUUCCAAUGUAGUUGUCAAAGAAAUCGCACUGGCGUUGUUUACCAAAAUAUCUAUGCCUCCAAAUUUGUCGACAGCAGCCUUUACUGCAGCCCUCACUUGGUUCUCGUCACGCACAUCCACAAUACAUGCCAAGGCUUUUCCUCCGGCCUUUUCAACUUAAAUAUUAAUUGUAUUUAUUUAAUUUUUGAUAGCAAUUAUGUCAAUAGGCCAAGUUGCUUACCUUCUUCUGCGGUGGUAAAAAUUGUGCCUGGCAACUUGGGAUGUGGAUCACUUGUCUUGGCCGCAAUGACAACAUUUGCACCAUCACGUGCUGCUUUCAAUGCUAUAGCUUUGCCAAUUCCUCUUGAUGCACCUGUUAUAAAAAGAGUUUUGCCCUUUAAUGACCCGUUGUUUUGCAUAGUUAAUCUAUUUUUUAUGUUGUUCACGUCGAGAGUUAUUAGGCAGAAAUAAAUGGUUUUUGAUAAACAGUCCAAAUUAA